GCCUUAAUGCAGCCAUCCGCAAGGAUGACGGUCGCAAGCCCGUAUGAAUGCAGAGCGAGGC
rnacentral:ribozyme from 2 species